UGGGGAAUAUUGCACAAUGGGCGAAAGCCUGAUGCAGCAACGCCGCGUGGGUGAAGAAGGCCUUUGGGUCGUAAAGCCCUUUCGAUGGGAAAGAAGGGUCUAUCGUCAAACAGACGAUAGAUUUGACGGUACCUAGAGAAGAAGCACCGGCCAAUCUCGUGCCAGCAGCCGCGGUAAUACGAGAGGUGCAAGCGUUGUUCGGAAUUAUUGGGCGUAAAGAGCACGUAGGCGGAUUCGUGUGUCAAUUGUGAAAUACCUGGGCUUAACCCGGGAAUUGCAGUUGAAACUGCGAGUCUUGAAUACCUGAGAGGGUGGGAGAAUUCCUGGUGGAGAAGUGAAAUUCGUAGAUAUCAGGAGGAAUACCGGAGGCGAAGGCGCCUGCCUGGCAGUGUAUUGACGCUGAGGUGCGAAAGCGUGGGGAGCAAACAGG
rnacentral:rRNA from 1 species